CCUGAGACCAAAUGAAAAACACAACUCACCUGAGGCCAGGCCAGGUAACACUUGACCAUAGACCAGAUAAUAUGUCUAACCUGAGAUAGACCAGGUAAUAUGUCUCACCUGAGACUAGACCAGGUAAUAUGUCUCACCUGAGACUAGACUAGGUAAUGUCUCACCUGAGACUAGACCAGGUAACAUUUCUCAACUCAGACUAGACCAGGUAAUAUGUCUCAACUGAGACUAGACCAGGUAACGUGUCCCAACUGAGACUAGACCAGGUAAUAUGUCUCACCUGAGACUAGACCAGGUAAUGUCUUGCCUGAGACUAGACCAGGUAACAUGUCCCAACUGAGACUAGACCAGGUAACAUGUCCCAACUGAGACUAGACCAGGUAAUAUGGUUCACCUGAGACUAGACCAGGUAACAUGUCUCAACUCAGACUAGACCAGGUAAUAUGUCUCAACUCAGACUAGACCAGGUAACAUGUCUCAACUCAGACUAGACCAGAUAAUAUGGUUCACCUGAGACUAGACCAGGUAAUGUCUCAACUGAGACUAGACCAGGUAAUUAAGGUUCACCUGAGACUAGACCAGGUAAUAUGUCUCAUCUGAGACUAGAUCAGGUAAUUAUGGUUCACCUGAGACUAGACCAGGUAACAUGUCUCAACUCAGACUAGACCAGGUAAUUAUGGUUCACCUGAGACUAGAACAGGUGACACGUCUCACCUGAGGACCAGACAAACCCUUGACUGAGUGUUUAAAUCUCAGACAUUACCUUUUGUUAAAGAACCUUUGAGGGUUUGGACCUGAGGUUCUGCUUGGUGGUGGUGUAAAACCGUUUGGACCUGAAC